rnacentral:lncRNA from 1 species
UAACAACACGAGGAAUAGCAGUGCAAGCAGCAUGAUGAAUGUAAAUGAGAAAUUCAAAGGAAUUACGCAAACUGACCACAGUCGACCCAAUCCACCUUAAGGCGAUACCAUGUUAUAAUCCCGCCUGGGCAGACGAGACGAAACGGGUCGGGUCGGGUUGGUCAACGGACAAAAAGCUGAGAGAAAGCCACCUGGCAGUAAAUUUCCGUGCUCAGCUAGAACAACAAUGGCUGAAGCCUCUUCCAACAAUGGCGGAACCGAUCAGGUGCAAUCCCAUUCUGCUCUCAAUACUCCAGUUCAAGUGUUCACUGGUUGUUUAUUUACUUCUUUUUUGAAAAAUAAUAAUUUAAUUGUUACUUUUGGUUGUCAGAUUUUGGUGGAGACAUCAUCAAAUGUUAGAACGUUCAUAUUAAAGCUCAAUGCACUUUCUUAUGAAAUGGUAUUCCAAAUAUGAUGUCACUAUUAUUUUGUUGGCCUACUUUUAUUUUCUUUGUACUGUUUCCUUUACCGUACUGUCCUCAAAUAUAUUAUAUCGUCUAUAGUUUGUGUUUCAUUGAAAACUUUAUUUGUUGAUUAUUAUCCAUAUAAUUUAUUAAGCCCGACCUUAACUAGUUUGUGAUUGAAGUGUUAGUUGUAGUCGUAGUAGUAGUAGUUGUAGUAAUAGUAAUUGUUGUUGUUGUUGUCGUCUUUUAAUUGAAGUCUGACUUACUUGAUUUUUUUUUAACAUGGGGACUUGAUUUCUAUGCUUACAUGAGUUUGUUUGGGGAUGAUGGUGCUUCCAAUGAAUGCUCAAAUUUUCUGGCUUCAGCUCAGACAUCCCAUAAAUGCAAGUUAAGCCUUAAGCAUUACUGGUCACCUUCCGCAC